rnacentral:rRNA from 1 species
UACAGAGGGUGCAAGCGUUGUUCGGAAUUAUUGGGCGUAAAGGGCGCGUAGGCGGUUCGGCAAGUCUCUAGUGAAAUCUCAGGGCUCAACUCUGAGUCUGCUGGGGAAACUGCCGGGCUUGAGUGUGGGAGAGGAGAGUGGAAUUCCCGGUGUAGCGGUGAGAUGCGUAGAUAUCGGGAGGAACACCUGUGGCGAAAGCGGCUCUCUGGACCACAACUGACGCUGAGGCACGAAAGCGUGGGGAGCAAACAGG